rnacentral:rRNA from 1 species
CAGCCGCCGCGGUAAGACAGAGGAUGCAAGCGUUAUCCGGAAUGAUUGGGCGUAAAGCGUCUGUAGGUGGCUUUUUAAGUCGGAUGUGAAAUCCCCGAGCUUAACUUGGGAAUUGCAUUCAAUACUGGGAAGCUAGAGUAUGGGAGAGGAUGGUAGAAUUCCAGGUGUAGCGGUGAAAUGCGUAGAGAUCUGGAGGAAUACCGAUGGCGAAGGCAGCCAUCUGGCCUAAUACUGACGCUGAGGUACGAAAGCAUGGGGAGCAAACAGGAUUAGAGACCCCCGUAGUCCCUGUCUCUUAUAC